rnacentral:misc_RNA from 1 species
AACCUAGCACACCUGCGGUGUGUACCUGCGGAGGGAUCAUCAUCGAAUUAAUAUCCCCCUCCUCUCCCGGAGGGGGACCUAUGAUAAGCCCUUCUGUGCACCGUUAAACCGUUCACUUUGGCAGGCUUUGGUGGCACACCUCCAACCUCGCGUUCCCUCCUCCUAAGGAGGUGUUACGCGUGGCGGCCUGCCAGAGUCUCUCAUUAAAAACACGUUUUCAAACACGUCUGAAAAUUUCCU